CUCAUUAUAAUUUAAAUUAAAAAUAUUGAUUUGCAAAAUCAAAAAUGCUAUAUGAGU
rnacentral:tRNA from 1 species